AUCACCCGGGGAUCUUGUUAAAAUGCACAUUAUGAUUCAAUUGGUUGGAAGUGGGGCCUAAGAUUUUGCAUUCUAACAAGUUCCUAGGUGAUGCUGA
rnacentral:pre_miRNA from 1 species